rnacentral:rRNA from 1 species
UAAAAUGACUCUCGGCAACGGAUAUCUCGGCUCUUGCAUCGAUGAAGAACGUAGCGAAAUGCGAUACGUGGUGUGAAUUGCAGAAUCCCGUGAACCAUCGAGUUUUUGAACGCAAGUUGCGCCCAAGGCCUUUUGGUUGAGGGCACGUCUGCUUGGG